UACGUAGGGGGCAAGCGUUGUCCGGAUUUAUUGGGCGUAAAGAGCGUGUAGGCGGUUUGGUAGGUCCGCUGUGAAAACUCGAGGCUCAACCUCGAGACGCCGGUGGAAACCAUCAGACUAGAGUCCGGAAGAGGAGAGUGGAAUUCCUGGUGUAGCGGUGGAAAUGACGCAGAUAUCAGGAAGAACACCCGUGGCUAAGGCGGCUCUCUAGUACGGUACUGACGCUGAGACGCGAAAGCGUGGGGAGCGAACAGGG
rnacentral:rRNA from 1 species